rnacentral:rRNA from 1 species
ACUCAAAUGAAUUGACGGGGGUCCGCACAAGCGGUGGAACAUGUGGUUUAAUUCGACAUUACGCGAGGAACCUUACCUGGACUUGACAUGCUCUGAUCGCCAUAGAGAUAUGGUUUUCUAAGCUUCGGUUUAGACAGAUGCACAGGUGCUGCAUGGCUGUCGUCAGCUCGUGUCGUGAGAUGUUAGGUUAAGUCCUCUAACGAGCGCAACCCUUGCCUUUAGUUGCUAUCUACUUGUAGAGCACUCUAAAGGGACUGCCUGGGAAACCAGGAGGAAGGUGGGGACGACGUCAAGUCAUCAUGGUCCUUAUGUCCAGGGCUACACACGUGUUACAAUGGUCGGUACAAAGGGUCGCAAAUCCGCGAGGAGAAGCCAAUCCCAGAAAGCCGAUCUAAGUUCGGAUUGAGGUCUGCAACUCGACCUCAUGAAGUUGAAAUCGCUAGUAAUCGCGCAUCAGAACGGCGCGGUGAAUACGUUCCCGGACCUUGCACACACCGCCCGU